rnacentral:rRNA from 1 species
AGAGUUUGAUCAUGGCUCAGGACGAACGCUGGCGGCGUGCUUAACACAUGCAAGUCGAACGGAAAGGCCCUUCGGGGUACUCGAGUGGCGAACGGGUGAGUAACACGUGGGUGAUCUGCCCUGCACUCUGGGAUAAGCCUGGGAAACUGGGUCUAAUACCGGAUAGGACCGCAUGCUUCAUGGUGUGUGGUGCAAAGCUUUUGCGGUGUGGGAUGAGCCCGCGGCCUAUCAGCUUGUUGGUGGGGUAAUGGCCUACCAAGGCGACGACGGGUAGCCGGCCUGAGAGGGUGACCGGCCACACUGGGACUGAGAUACGGCCCAGACUCCUACGGGAGGCAGCAGUGGGGAAUAUUGCACAAUGGGCGCAAGCCUGAUGCAGCGACGCCGCGUGAGGGAUGACGGCCUUCGGGUUGUAAACCUCUUUCAGUAGGGACGAAGCGAAAGUGACGGUACCUACAGAAGAAGGACCGGCCAACUACGUGCCAGCAGCCGCGGUAAUACGUAGGGUCCGAGCGUUGUCCGGAAUUACUGGGCGUAAAGAGCUCGUAGGUGGUUUGUCGCGUUGUUCGUGAAAACUCACAGCUUAACUGUGGGCGUGCGGGCGAUACGGGCAGACUAGAGUACUGCAGGGGAGACUGGAAUUCCUGGUGUAGCGGUGGAAUGCGCAGAUAUCAGGAGGAACACCGGUGGCGAAGGCGGGUCUCUGGGCAGUAACUGACGCUGAGGAGCGAAAGCGUGGGUAGCGAACAGGAUUAGAUACCCCGGUAGUCCAA